rnacentral:piRNA from 1 species
UGUGCUUUAGAAGUGGUGUUGCCAUCC